rnacentral:rRNA from 1 species
UACAGAGGGUGCAAGCGUUAAUCGGAGUUACUGGGCGUAAAGGGCGCGUAGGCGGUAAGAUGGGUGUGAUGUGAAAGCCCCGGGCUUAACCUGGGAAGUGCAUCGCAAACUAUCUAACUAGAGUAUAUGAGAGGGUGGCGGAAUUUCCGGUGUAGCGGUGAAAUGCGUAGAGAUCGGAAGGAACGUCAAUGGCGAAGGCAGCCACCUGGCAUAAUACUGACGCUGAGGCGCGAAAGCGUGGGGAGCGAACAGG